rnacentral:lncRNA from 1 species
CGGCUUGUAAUCUAAAACUUAAUCAUGUUUUCGGGGCUUGCAUGUAAUUUCAUUUUACUUAAUCUCAUUUAAUUUGAGAAAUUUUGUUCUAGUCGGCUUGUAAUCUAAGUUGAUUUUAUAUAGAUUUUAAUUUGAAAAAAAAAAAACAUUUUACUUUGAGAAAUUUUAGGCUACAUUGUAAGAUAUAAUAUUGACUCUUACAUCAUUGGCUCAGAGAUGCUAUGAUCGGAUACUCGAAGCAUGUGAUGAGCUUAGGCGGUUUGAUUUUUGAACUUUUAUCAGAAGCUCUUGGUUUAAGAGCUGAUAAGCUUAAGAGCUUAGACUGCAUGAAGGGUUUGCUUAUGCUCUGCCAUUAUUACCCUCCUUGUCCACAACCUGACCUAACUUUGGGAACAAGUAAGCAUUCAGACAACACCUUUAUAACCAUGCUCCUUCAGGACCAAAUCGGUGGUCUUCAAGUCCUUCAUCAAGACUAUUGGGUCGAUGUCUCGCCUAUCCCUGGGGCUCUUGUCAUCAACAUCGGAGACUUCCUGCAGGUAAGAGCAACAUUAUCAAUGAGAACCCCGGAGGAUUUAUUAAAAAAUAAAAAAUUAAUGAAUUAUAAUCAAAUAAUUGAAAUUUAAUAGUAAAUUAAAAAAAUCAACCAAUUUAUAAUUUUCAAGUGUGUUUCUAAAAAGUUUUCAUAUGAAAUCUCUAUUUUUAUUUUUAAAAACUCACAUUUAAACUCGAUGGAAGUGUUUUAAGAAACUCCCUAAUAAAAAAAAAAAAAAAAAAAACGCGGGGAACUUGGAAUCCGCUAGAGAGUUAUCGAUCAAGACAAUCGAGUUAGCUGCAAGUUUCUCGAUGUGGAAACUGGUGGAAGCGGCUGCUGAGCAUGCAGCUCCUAUUUACCAUCAGCUUCGUGACUCGGGUGAGCUCGAUGAGCUAGAUGAUGAGCUGGUUAACUUGAUCAGAACCGCUGCUGUUCAAUUUUCUCAACAGGGUGGUUGAGUAACCGAAGCAAAAGCUAAAGAGGGCUUUGACCGUUUGAGAACUGAGAAGUCUGGACUCUUUAGUUCUGUCUUGAGAGAAGCAAGUGUCCUCGCAUCAUCGACCAAGUAUAUAGGAUCCGGGAUGGUUUUGUUAGUCAAUUAUUGGCACUAAUCCCUUUUGGAUAGGGAGCACCUGUUGUGUGAUUUUUAUGUACAAAGUAAAAUCUGUAAGCAAUACAAGGAUUUAAUGUUCAAUUUUUUUAUGGAAAUGUUUGAACAAUUUUGAAUUUAUCAUAUGUUUUAACCAUUCUUAAAACAGAUAUUGGAUAUAUAAAACCCCUGAAAGGUCAAAUCAUUUCUUAGAUAAUUAGUAUUAUGUUAAUCGUGAUCGUGAGAGCCAACUUAUUCCCAAAUUACAAAUAUAUUACAGCUUAGUUUAAAAAAACAGAUCAAAUGGUUCUGAAAUUACUUAGAAGCACAACGUUUGAAAGAUAGACAAGAAACCAGAGAGAGAUGGUUAAAGUCUUGGAGGAAGCACUUAUCAUGGGGAAGAUGCUCUUUUACCAUUUCAUCUCUAUCCUCUUUGACAGUAUGGGCUUCUUUACUGAUGCUUACGAUCUCUUCUGGUUCUCUUUGAUCUCUAAGCUCUUUGGUCGACGAUUCUAUUUCUGCAACCAGUUUUUAGUUCCUAUUAUUAAAUCAGAACUAGUCUUGUCUUCGACAGAAAAAGGAAAAUGUAAUAAAACUGUUGAUUACAUUUUGUAUUGCUCCAGUAAAGUUACGGUGCAAAUUAAAAUAUUUUAUAAAUGGUGUGUUUAUAUUGCGUAUGGAUUGUGGAAUUGUUUGGUGGGUUUAAUCUUACGAUUAGAUGUUUGUGUUAUUUGUGUAUGUAUGCUUGUGUAUAAAUAGGAGAGUUUUGAACCUGUCUUUGUAAGACAUUCACAUAAAAACAUAUACUCUUGCGUUUCGUUUCUUUGUUGCAUAUCGAAAAUAUCAAUAACGGAAUAAUAUUUUAUGUUUUUGUUGAUCUUUUAUAUGCAAGUAUCAUGAUUUGGUUUGAACGGAACUGAACUCGAACGGUGUAUAACGUAAAAGCAGGUGAAAGGUGAACAAAACGGACAUUUUGAGCUUCAGAAAACGGUCUUCGUGUGUCCCACACACCCAAAAGACCAAACUCUUUCGAAAAUUAAUUAGUAGUUUUUAAUUAAUACAAUAAUAUACUCUCUCCCUUCCUAAAAAAUAGAUUUUUUAGUGUUUUUACACAUACUAAAAAAACACAUUAAAUCACUAUAGUCAAUUUAUUUGUAAUUUUCAACAACUUUUAACCAAUAAUAAUCUAAUAAAACUAAUUAAUUUUCUUAAAUAUACAUCUUUUUGAAACAAAAUAUUUUUUCAAAAUAUGGAUCUUUUACGAACAGAGUGAGUAUAAAAUUAGAAGAAAAUCUGGGAUUAAAUCCCCUAUCUUUUUCUUAUCAUAUACCACAAAUUUUAUUUUACAAAAAAUUUACCAUAAACUUUCUUAUUUUCCUUUUACAAACUAGAUUAUUAACCCAAUCAGUCCAUUUCUCUUUUGUAUUUUGAACUUUAUUUUUGUAUUUUACAUUAUGAAAUCUAUGUUUAACUUUAUAUAUUUCCUUAUUAGUGUUUCAAAUAAUUAAGGUUGUAUUAUUGUUACUAAUCCAAUUUAAAAUAUUGAAUAUGUAAUUUGAUAUAUUUUUUAAAAAAUAAUGAGAAACUCUCUAAUUUAACAUAAAAUCUAACAUAUGAUUUUAAAAUUAAAUAAUAUUUAUUGAUAAGAGAUUUAAUGGACUAGCUGAUGGGGAUGCUCUGAGUCUUGUCUUAAAUAUUCUGCCACGCUUCUCACAUUUUGCAUGAUCUACUCCACGUUUCUCUUCUUCUGCUCCAUCUCCUUCUUCUGAUUCUUACAGUAUCUGCUACAUAAGCAAAAAAAGCCUUUGUGGCAGAUCUUAAAAAAAGUUAGUUCAAAAAAAAGAAGACAAGUCUUGAAAAACAAAUACAAAAAUGGUGGCUGAAAACUUAAUCGAAUUUGAGUGCAAGUCCAUCGAUGAAACGAAAGCUGCAGUGCAUGGUGGCCUCGUCGAACCUCAAAUCACUGAGUUUACUUCAAUCUUUGGCCUUCCUCCAGUGACGUCAGAUGACAAGAAACCUUCUGUCACUGCCUCAGACUUAGCAGUCCCUAUCAUCGAUUUUGCAAUGUCACGAGAAAACAUUGUGGAGAAAAUCAAAGAAGCUUCAGAGAAGUGGGGGAUAUUCCAGGUGAUCAACCAUGGUGUUCCUUCAAGCGUUCUUGAAGAGAUCAAAGAUGGAGUCGUUAGGUUUCAUGAGGAAGAUCCUGAGGUUAAAAAAACUUACUUCUCACGCGACUUCGCCAAGACAUUUAUCUACCACAAUAACUUCGAACUCUACAGUUCCUCUGCUGGUAACUGGAGAGACAGCUUCGCUUGUUACAUGGCUCCUAACCCUCCAAACCCUGAGGAGAUCGCAAUGGCUUGCAGGUAAUUAAUCCCGUUUAAUUUGAGAAUUUUUGUUAGAGUCGGCUUGUAAUCUAAAACUUAAUCAUGUUUUCGGGGCUUGCAUGUAAUUUCAUUUUACUUAAUCUCAUUUAAUUUGAGAAAUUUUGUUCUAGUCGGCUUGUAAUCUAAGUUGAUUUUAUAUAGAUUUUAAUUUGAAAAAAAAAAAACAUUUUACUUUGAGAAAUUUUAGGCUACAUUGUAAGAUAUAAUAUUGACUCUUACAUCAUUGGCUCAGAGAUGCUAUGAUCGGAUACUCGAAGCAUGUGAUGAGCUUAGGCGGUUUGAUUUUUGAACUUUUAUCAGAAGCUCUUGGUUUAAGAGCUGAUAAGCUUAAGAGCUUAGACUGCAUGAAGGGUUUGCUUAUGCUCUGCCAUUAUUACCCUCCUUGUCCACAACCUGACCUAACUUUGGGAACAAGUAAGCAUUCAGACAACACCUUUAUAACCAUGCUCCUUCAGGACCAAAUCGGUGGUCUUCAAGUCCUUCAUCAAGACUAUUGGGUCGAUGUCUCGCCUAUCCCUGGGGCUCUUGUCAUCAACAUCGGAGACUUCCUGCAGGUAAGAGCAACAUUAUCAAUGAGAACCCCGGAGGAUUUAUUAAAAAAUAAAAAAUUAAUGAAUUAUAAUCAAAUAAUUGAAAUUUAAUAGUAAAUUAAAAAAAUCAACCAAUUUAUAAUUUUCAAGUGUGUUUCUAAAAAGUUUUCAUAUGAAAUCUCUAUUUUUAUUUUUAAAAACUCACAUUUAAACUCGAUGGAAGUGUUUUAAGAAACUCCCUAAUAAAAAAAAAAAAAAAAAAGACACGGUAACAUAGAACAAAGGUUUUAGUGGGAGAUGCAUUGAAUGAAUUAGUUUCUAACUUUAAUGUGUUGUGUAGUUGAUGACGAACGACAAGUUCAAAAGCGUGGAGCAUAGGGUGCUUGCUAACGAAGCUGGACCGAGGAUUUCAGUGGCGUGCUUUUUCAGCUCGAGUGUGAUUCCGAAUUCAACGGUUUACGGACCGAUCAAAGAGCU